ensembl:lncRNA
UUCUACUUCUUUUUUUUCCUUCCUUUCAUUUUCCUUCUUAUUCCUUCUUUCUUUUUUACAGUAAGACUGCUGGCUUCAUAUGAUAUACAUGUAUAUGUGUGUACCAACUUAUCUGAACAUCAAUUCCAUUCCUACACAACUCAAUGGCCACUCUUUGAAAUUCAAGGUGCUUAAACUCAGGGCUGCCAUUUUACAAUUGGCCAAGUUAAUUUUGUUCAUGACCUCAGUGUUUUAUGAGUAUUUGUUAUCAAAAUACAUUUGAGUAAAAAUUAUUACCUGUCACCACCCAAAUCUUUUUCUCCCUGAAACAAAGAAACAUAGGCAGACUGAACAAAACAAGCACUAGCAGAAGUAAGAAAGGAUUCCUGUAGUCUUGUCUGCCUCUGAACUGUGUUCACAGAAUGAACUCUAUCACAUUUUUAAAUUAUACAAGUGAAAUGAAAGCCUAAACUACUUUCUAAAAUUUAAAUUCCUGGCAAUUCAACUAUAUAAAGCAUUUCUGAAGCUCUUGAGUUACAUACAGAAACAGAUAUCUUUAGUGAUCUAAGUCAGUGAAGGGGAAAGAAAAAUAAAAAGAUAUGUUCUUACAAGCUAUUCUGUGAGGAGUUAUAUUUGCACUCAGUUGUCUCAUCUAUAGGCCUGAGUACAUUUACUUGUACAUUAUAGUUAAAUAAGACCUGGCAGUUAAAAAAAAAAAUCUACUGUCCUUCAUAAAAAUUAAAUUUUUGGUUACCUCUGCUGUCUUCUUGAACCAGAUUUAGCAAGCUGAGAAGGUAACAAGGAUGUUCUUGCAUUUUAAGCCAACUGCACAAGACACUACAAUUCAGCUCUGUGACCUUCCUGAACAAGAAGAAUUACAUAUUUCAUUUUAUUUUUAAAUCACAGUAUGUCAAGAAUAACCACACAGAAUAAAUAGCACGGACUCAUUUCUUCAUGCCUAACAGACUUUGUGUUAUAGCUGUCUUAUUUCCAUUAGUACAGACAUUGUCAACUUGUAUGAAAAGGAGAUAUAGAAGUAGGAAAUCUAUUCCACAAUGGCAAACAUUCUUUUUUAUUCUAAAUAGAGCACCUGAACUCCAGAAGUGAAUUUAUACCACUCUGAUGGUUUGCAGUUCAACUGAAGCUUUAGGGCCCAGUUUUGGUAGCCGUCCAUACAUGCAUAUCUCCUACAAGUUAAUGCAAGUGUUGAUAUGAGAAUUAAGAUAUAAUACAGUAGCAAUGCUUGGCUUACUACACUUCUCAGAGGGGCAUUACAGCUGGGGAGCAGAGAAAAUACAGCUACUUCAAACACAGUAGUCAUCUUUCACUUAGUGGGUCAGAAUUUCCAUUUCUCAGAAGAAAAUUCUAGCUACCCUUAGUAAAAAGGAAAUAGUGGAGUUGCGACCCAAAUUAUCUUUGGUUUCUAUGAUGCCUAGAGAAUGUGGCCAGCACUGGGCAAACACUAAUACUGUAUUUCUUCCAGGAAGUAAAUUUACUUGCUGCGUAUAUAUUUUACAUAUGCUUUUAGAAAAAAAAAGAAAAGAAAAAAAAAGCUUCUUCUCCCUGUUGUAAUGAGAAGAAAGAUUGUGUAAACUGCUCACUGUGCCAUCAAUUGUGGCUGGAGAGCAGGAAUGCUGCUGACAGCAGUUACUAUUCUUUUGAUAGACCAGAUACAUGCCUUGCAUUCCUGUGGCAGCUGACACCACAAUUAGUUCUUGUAUGGCCAAAAGGGGGUGGGGAAGGAGGGAGUUCUUUUGGAGAACAUUUGGUAUCCAUGGAUAAGCCUAGUUUUUUUUCUGCCACAGUACUGUCAGCCAGAUGAAUCAUGAAGUCUUUAUACUCUACUUGAAUUCCAUUCAUAUAUAUCUUUUGCCUUUUAAUAAAGAUUCCUGGAAAAGGAACACUUAGUGACUUUCAACUUUGUUUUGUGAAACUUUGUGCCAGUGAAUAUUGUAAAAAAAAAUUCCUUUUCUUAGAGUCAAUUAUAUAAUAAAUAAAUAAAAUGUGUACUGAA